UUUUUACUUUUCCGGCAGAAUUUUUUUUUUUAUCCAUUUUUUCUUCCUGACCGACAAAACAACUUCCAUUGUUAUCAACGACGUUCUUCCGUUCGCUUGAUCUUAAAUCCAUAUUUUUCUCGCGAGUUUUGAUUCUUAAAAUAUACCUUCUGAACAAAUGAACUACCUCUAUAAUCGUUUUCUGGUUAGCUAUUAAAUCGGAAAAGGAGAGAAGCUUCAUUUAGUCGAAUCGAAUCGAUGGGUGUGUUGGGGCCGGUAGAUAAAUCCGACAGUCGGAUGAUUCAGUUUUGACCCAUGAGUAUAACAUAUUCAUCCUUAAUUCAAUUCGGCUGUACAUGUGGAAGCAUAUACAAUCAAAACGAAGCACAAUAUAUGAACACAUCAUAAUAGCACUUCGAUUCAAUUGUGAGGACAGGGUAUGAAGUUUAUUGGCUGUCAAGUUACUGAUCACAGAGCAGAAGAUUAAGAAGAAUACAGUUAAAGGGAUAUACAACUCCAUCAAAUUCCCUCAGAUCUUCGUCGCUUAUUGGCCCUUUAAGAAAAGGCAAAAGAAGUUUGAUGCAUAAGUUACCAUUAAACUUACUUGUAAUAGAAGUUGUUCUUCGAGUGUUGAUUGUCCUCUUUUUUCUUUAGGAUGCUUUUUUCUUUAGGAUUCCAAGUAAAAAACACAGGUAUCUCUUCGAAAGUGAGUUUUCUUGCAACUUCACAAUUAAGGUUGAGAUCGAACCAAGCCUUAUGUAGUGGAGAAGGGUUGAUAGAGGACAGAAGGGAGAAAGUUUUAAAGGUAUGAUGAUUGAACCUUUGAUUACUAACAUCGUAUUUAUAGGAGGGCUUGACGUAUCAAAAUGUAGGUAUACUCUGGUUGUAUAAGUUAUGGAAUAUUCUGCAAAAGCCGAUAAUUGUGCAAAAUGGAGUAGGAAAAUAUCUUGGGGAAUAUUUCGUAUAUAUUGUAAAGAUUAUUCCAAUUAAUUGUAGAGUAUUUAUAUACUUCGAAUUAGGGAAUCUAAGAAACUGUUAUGGUUGUUUUUCAAAUUUGCAAAGGAGAUUGCUAUCUUUCUAGUAUAUUGAUGAGAUUUUUUGCGAAAUUUCGGGGUUAGUAUUCGUGAUAUAGAGGUAAAUUAUUAUAUGGAAACCCAACUAAUGUCGUUUUCACAUGUUCU